AGCGUACACGGUGGAUGCCCUGGCAGUCAGAGGCGAUGAAGGACGUGCUAAUCUGCGAUAAGCGUCGGUGAGGUGAUAUGAACCGUUAUAACCGGCGAUUUCCGAAUGGGGAAACCCAGUGUGUUUCGACACACUAUCAUUAACUGAAUCCAUAGGUUAAUGAGGCGAACCGGGGGAACUGAAACAUCUAAGUACCCCGAGGAAAAGAAAUCAACCGAGAUUCCCCCAGUAGCGGCGAGCGAACGGGGAGGAGCCCAGAGCCUGAAUCAGUGUGUGUGUUAGUGGAAGCGUCUGGAAAGGCGCGCGAUACAGGGUGACAGCCCCGUACACAAAAAUGCACAUAUUGUGAGCUCGAUGAGUAGGGCGGGACACGUGGUAUCCUGUCUGAAUAUGGGGGGACCAUCCUCCAAGGCUAAAUACUCCUGACUGACCGAUAGUGAACCAGUACCGUGAGGGAAAGGCGAAAAGAACCCCGGCGAGGGGAGUGAAAAAGAACCUGAAACCGUGUACGUACAAGCAGUGGGAGCCUCUUAAUGGGGUGACUGCGUACCUUUUGUAUAAUGGGUCAGCGACUUAUAUUCUGUAGCAAGGUUAACCGAAUAGGGGAGCCGAAGGGAAACCGAGUCUUAACUGGGCGUUAAGUUGCAGGGUAUAGACCCGAAACCCGGUGAUCUAGCCAUGGGCAGGUUGAAGGUUGGGUAACACUAACUGGAGGACCGAACCGACUAAUGUUGAAAAAUUAGCGGAUGACUUGUGGCUGGGGGUGAAAGGCCAAUCAAACCGGGAGAUAGCUGGUUCUCCCCGAAAGCUAUUUAGGUAGCGCCUCGUGAAUUCAUCUCCGGGGGUAGAGCACUGUUUCGGCAAGGGGGUCAUCCCGACUUACCAACCCGAUGCAAACUGCGAAUACCGGAGAAUGUUAUCACGGGAGACACACGGCGGGUGCUAACGUCCGUCGUGAAGAGGGAAACAACCCAGACCGCCAGCUAAGGUCCCAAAGUCAUGGUUAAGUGGGAAACGAUGUGGGAAGGCCCAGACAGCCAGGAUGUUGGCUUAGAAGCAGCCAUCAUUUAAAGAAAGCGUAAUAGCUCACUGGUCGAGUCGGCCUGCGCGGAAGAUGUAACGGGGCUAAACCAUGCACCGAAGCUGCGGCAGCGACGCUUAUGCGUUGUUGGGUAGGGGAGCGUUCUGUAAGCCUGUGAAGGUGUGCUGUGAGGCAUGCUGGAGGUAUCAGAAGUGCGAAUGCUGACAUAAGUAACGAUAAAGCGGGUGAAAAGCCCGCUCGCCGGAAGACCAAGGGUUCCUGUCCAACGUUAAUCGGGGCAGGGUGAGUCGACCCCUAAGGCGAGGCCGAAAGGCGUAGUCGAUGGGAAACAGGUUAAUAUUCCUGUACUUGGUGUUACUGCGAAGGGGGGACGGAGAAGGCUAUGUUGGCCGGGCGACGGUUGUCCCGGUUUAAGCGUGUAGGCUGGUUUUCCAGGCAAAUCCGGAAAACCAAGGCUGAGGCGUGAUGACGAGGCACUACGGUGCUGAAGCAACAAAUGCCCUGCUUCCAGGAAAAGCCUCUAAGCAUCAGGUAACAUCAAAUCGUACCCCAAACCGACACAGGUGGUCAGGUAGAGAAUACCAAGGCGCUUGAGAGAACUCGGGUGAAGGAACUAGGCAAAAUGGUGCCGUAACUUCGGGAGAAGGCACGCUGAUAUGUAGGUGAAGCGACUUGCUCGUGGAGCUGAAAUCAGUCGAAGAUACCAGCUGGCUGCAACUGUUUAUUAAAAACACAGCACUGUGCAAACACGAAAGUGGACGUAUACGGUGUGACGCCUGCCCGGUGCCGGAAGGUUAAUUGAUGGGGUUAGCGGUAACGCGAAGCUCUUGAUCGAAGCCCCGGUAAACGGCGGCCGUAACUAUAACGGUCCUAAGGUAGCGAAAUUCCUUGUCGGGUAAGUUCCGACCUGCACGAAUGGCGUAAUGAUGGCCAGGCUGUCUCCACCCGAGACUCAGUGAAAUUGAACUCGCUGUGAAGAUGCAGUGUACCCGCGGCAAGACGGAAAGACCCCGUGAACCUUUACUAUAGCUUGACACUGAACAUUGAGCCUUGAUGUGUAGGAUAGGUGGGAGGCUUUGAAGUGUGGACGCCAGUCUGCAUGGAGCCGACCUUGAAAUACCACCCUUUAAUGUUUGAUGUUCUAACGUGGGCCCCUAAUCGGGGUUGCGGACAGUGUCUGGUGGGUAGUUUGACUGGGGCGGUCUCCUCCUAAAGAGUAACGGAGGAGCACGAAGGUUGGCUAAUCCUGGUCGGACAUCAGGAGGUUAGUGCAAUGGCAUAAGCCAGCUUGACUGCGAGCGUGACGGCGCGAGCAGGUGCGAAAGCAGGUCAUAGUGAUCCGGUGGUUCUGAAUGGAAGGGCCAUCGCUCAACGGAUAAAAGGUACUCCGGGGAUAACAGGCUGAUACCGCCCAAGAGUUCAUAUCGACGGCGGUGUUUGGCACCUCGAUGUCGGCUCAUCACAUCCUGGGGCUGAAGUAGGUCCCAAGGGUAUGGCUGUUCGCCAUUUAAAGUGGUACGCGAGCUGGGUUUAGAACGUCGUGAGACAGUUCGGUCCCUAUCUGCCGUGGGCGCUGGAGAACUGAGGGGGGCUGCUCCUAGUACGAGAGGACCGGAGUGGACGCAUCACUGGUGUUCGGGUUGUCAUGCCAAUGGCACUGCCCGGUAGCUAAAUGCGGAAGAGAUAAGUGCUGAAAGCAUCUAAGCACGAAACUUGCCCCGAGAUGAGUUCU
rnacentral:rRNA from 2 species